AAUCAACGCUGGCGGCGUGCCUAACACAUGCAAGUCGCACGAGAAAGCGGACUUCGGUCUGUGAGUACAGUGGCGCACGGGUGAGUAACACGUGAAUCAUCUACCUUCGAGUGGGGAAUAACUGGGAGAAAUCUCAGCUAAUAUCGCAUAACACCUACGGGUCAAAGCAGCAAUGCGCCUGAAGAGGAGUUCGCGGCAGAGUAGUUAGUUGGCGGGGUAAUGGCCCACCAAGACGAUGAUCUGUAUCCGGCCUGAGAGGGCGCACGGACACACUGGAACUGAAACUCGGUCCAGACUCCUACGGGAGGCAGCAGUGGGGAAUUUUGCGCAAUGGGGGAAACCCUGACGCAGCAACGCCGCGUGGAGGAUGAAAUCCCUUGGGAUGUAAACUCCUUUCGAUCGGGACGAUUAUGACGGUACCGAUAGAAGAAGCCCCGGCUAACUUCGUGCCAGCCGCCGCGGUAA
rnacentral:rRNA from 1 species